UACAGAGGUCUCAAGCGUUGUUCGGAUUCAUUGGGCGUAAAGGGUGCGUAGGCGGUCAGCACAAGUCAGUUGUGAAAUCUCCGGGCUUAACUCGGAAAGGUCAACUGAUACUGUGCGACUAGAGUGCGGAAGGGGCAACUGGAAUUCUCGGUGUAGCGGUGAAAUGCGUAGAUAUCGAGAGGAACACCUGCGGCGAAGGCGGGUUGCUGGGCCGACACUGACGCUGAUGCGCGAAAGCCAGGGAGGCGAACGGG
rnacentral:rRNA from 1 species